rnacentral:rRNA from 1 species
UUUCAAAUUGAGAGUUUGAUCCUGGCUCAGGACGAACGCUGGCGGCGUGCCUAAUACAUGCAAGUCGAG